GAUGAACGCUGGCGGCGUGCCUAAUACAUGCAAGUCGAGCGAACGGACGAGAAGCUUGCUUCUCUGAUGUUAGCGGCGGACGGGUGAGUAACACGUGGAUAACCUACCUAUAAGACUGGGAUAACUUCGGGAAACCGGAGCUAAUACCGGAUAAUAUUUUGAACCGCAUGGUUCAAAAGUGAAAGACGGUCUUGCUGUCACUUAUAGAUGGAUCCGCGCUGCAUUAGCUAGUUGGUAAGGUAACGGCUUACCAAGGCAACGAUGCAUAGCCGACCUGAGAGGGUGAUCGGCCACACUGGAACUGAGACACGGUCCAGACUCCUACGGGAGGCAGCAGUAGGGAAUCUUCCGCAAUGGGCGAAAGCCUGACGGAGCAACGCCGCGUGAGUGAUGAAGGUCCUCGGAUCGUAAAACUCUGUUAUUAGGGAAGAACAUAUGUGUAAGUAACUGUGCACAUCUUGACGGUACCUAAUCAGAAGGCCACGGCUAACUACGUG
rnacentral:rRNA from 1 species